CGCGGGAUUAGAGUUUGAUCCUGGCUCAGGACGAACGCUGGCGGCGCGCUUAACACAUGCAAGUCGAGCGAGAACCGGUCCUUCGGGACCGGGGAAAGCGGCGAACGGGUGAGUAACACGUGGGUAAUCAACCCUCGGUACCGGGACAGCCCGAGGAAACUCGGAUUAAUACCGGAUGGCCCAACAGCCUUUCGGGGCGGUUGGAAAAGGUAGCUUCGGCCUCCGACCGAGGACGAGCCCGCGGCGGAUUAGCUUGUUGGCGGGGUAACGGCCCACCAAGGCGACGAUCCGUAGCUGGUCUGAGAGGACGAUCAGCCACACUGGGACUGAGACACGGCCCAGACUCCUACGGGAGGCAGCAGUGGGGAAUCUUGCACAAUGGGCGAAAGCCUGAUGCAGCGACGCCGCGUGAGGGAAGAAGGCUUUCGGGUUGUAAACCUCUUUCAGGAGGGACGAAGCUACUCGGGUUAAUAGCCCAGAGGGUGACGGUACCUCCAGAAGAAGCCCCGGCUAACUACGUGCCAGCAGCCGCGGUAAUACGUAGGGGGCAAGCGUUGUCCGGAUUUAUUGGGCGUAAAGAGCGUGUAGGCGGCCAGGUAGGUCCGUUGUGAAAACUCGAGGCUCAACCUCGAGACGCCGAUGGAAACCCCCUGGCUAGAGUCCGGAAGAGGAGAGUGGAAUUCCUGGUGUAGCGGUGAAAUGCGCAGAUAUCAGGAAGAACACCCGUGGCUAAGGCGGCUCUCUAGUACGGUACUGACGCUGAGACGCGAAAGCGUGGGGAGCGAACAGGAUUAGAUACCCUGGUAGUCCACGCCGUAAACGAUGGGUGCUAGGUGUGGGGGGGUGUCGACUCCCUCCGUGCCCGAGCUAACGCAUUAAGCACCCCGCCUGGGGAGUAC
rnacentral:rRNA from 1 species